AUGCUAUUUCGCCUUCCCACAUCGUCUCCCCUUGCACCAUGGGACUUGGGCAGUGCGCCCCGCUUAGGGCCCCGUCCUUGCAGCCCUGCCUUCUGGAGCGGGAAGCCCGGAUGGAGACAGCAAGCUGCAUUCAGCAAGCAGCGGCUCUGUGAAAAGCGGGCAUUCUCUAACCUACAAGAUUUCAUGCAGCGUCAAAACAGCCUGAUAGGAAGCAGGCCCUGGCUGUCGCCCUGGCGUGCUCCUGGUAUCCAGGUGACGGUUAGUCAGUGUCAGUUCCGGGCAAGUGAUGCUCCCAUAGCCACACCAUCAACAGGCCACAGGUCCAGGACUGAACCCUGGGCCUCUGGACAUCCCCGGGGCAGGUGGCAGGCACGGAGCCUGGGGGGCAGGAAGGGUGACAGCGAACAGCGUGAGCUCAUGGCUUUGUUUCUGCCUAGGUUUCUCAGAGUCCUAACCCCAUGCCUGGGAGGGCAGCCCCCCCAGGGGGAUCGCCAUGGAAACCACGGAAACCACGUUGCAGAGGCUCAGUUCUGUAGGAACUGCAGGAGACAAGAAGUUCUCAAAACAAGGACUCAGGCUCAGCCUCUCCCCACCGUCCCCAGGACUCUGGCAGCCCCUGGAUUGGCAGCGACCGUGCCAUUUGAUGAUGGUCUGCGUCUCCCACUAGCCCCUGGGCAGUCCUGGUCAUCUGUGCAGCACGAGUGUCUGGCACCCGGCAGGGACCGGUGGGAGUCCUGUAGGGCAGCUGUGUGGCUCUCUCUCUCUAUCCUCUUUGCUCCUUUAUUCCUUCUUCAGACAAAACCAAACGAGCCCCUGCUGUGUGCUGGGCGCACAGCCGAGGAUGCCUCGGGGGCCCCGCACCUGUCCACACACUGCACAAACACAGUGCCACCAGCCGGGCCAGCACCUCCGCCAACCCCGGGCCCAGCGCUCUCAGCAGCCUGGGUCUCUCCUAAGCAGAAGGGGCUCCAGGCUCCCUUCAGAAAGGAGCAGAGACAUCCCUUGGCUGGACAAGUCCUCCCUCUCUGUUUCACGAACCCACAGCCCCACAGAGCCCAACAGAACCUGACUUUGAGCCGGUGGCUCCUCUCCACUCCCCGCAAUGAUGGGAUUUGUGCUCUGGGGCUACCUUUUCGGGAAGUGUCACACUCUGCCUGCUCCCCCCACGCCCUCCCCGUGGCCUUUCAGGUACCUGCAGGGGGCAGAGACGUGUGCCCUCACUGGCUUCUCUGGGCGACACCCGCCCACACAGCACUUGGUUUCCAGAUUGCUCCACUCAGCACACCUCCGUGGGCCCCAUCCCUCGGGAGGUGUCAGCCUCAGAAGAAAGCCGUGCUGCUGGCCUGCUCUCCACACUGGACACACCUCCACCCUGGCGUCUAUGCCUUCACGGAGCAGCCCUCGGCGGCCCUGGCUGUCACCCUGGCACGUCACCACGGCCGCCCCCCGCCGACUGCCCAGGAGCCCGCUCCUCAGCCACUGCAGAUUCCAUUCUAG
rnacentral:lncRNA from 1 species